AACGAACGCUGGCUGCAUGCCUAACAAAUGCAAGUCGAACGAGAUCUUCGGGUCUAGUGGCGCACGGGUGCGUAACGCGUGGGAAUCUGCCCUUUGGUUCGGAAUAACAGUUGGAAACGACUGCUAAUACCGGAUGAUGACGAAAGGCCAAAGAUUUAUCGCCAGAGGAUGAGCCCGCGUAGGAUUAGCUAGUUGGUGUGGUACAGGCUCACCAAGGCGACGAUCUUUAGCUGGGCUGAGAGGAUGAUCGGCCACACUGGGAUUGAGAAAAGGGCUAGACUCCUACGGGAGGCAGUAGUGGGAAAUCAUGGACAAUGGGAGAAUGCAUGUUCCAGGAAUGCCGCGUGAGUGAUGAAGGCCUUAGGGUGGUAAAGCUCUUUUACCCGGGAUGAUAAUGACAGUACCGGGAGAAUAAGCUCCGGCUAACUCCGUGCCAGCAGCCGCAGUAA
rnacentral:rRNA from 1 species